CCUACGGGUGGCAGCAGUGAGGAAUAUUGGUCAAUGGACGAAAGUCUGAACCAGCCAAGUAGCGUGAAGGAUGACUGCCCUAUGGGUUGUAAACUUCUUUUAUAUGGGAAUAAAAUGUUCCACGUGUGGGAUUUUGUAUGUACCAUAUGAAUAAGGGUCGGCUAACUCCGUGCCAGCAGCCGCGGUAAUACGGAGGAUCCGAGCGUUAUCCGGAUUUAUUGGGUUUAAAGGGAGAGUAGGUGGAUUGUUAAGUCAGUUGUGAAAGUUUGCGGCACAACCGUAAAAUUGCAUUUGAAACUGGCAGUCUUGAGUACAGUAGAGGUGGGCGGAAUUCGUGGUGUAGCGGUGAAAUGCUUAGAUAUCACGAAGAAUUCCGAUUGCGAAGGCAGUUCACUGGACUGCAACUGACACUGAGGCUCGAAAGUGUGGGUAUCAAACAGGAUUAGAUACCCUUGUAGUC
rnacentral:rRNA from 1 species